UGCUGGAUAGUUGAGUAGGUAGAGCAUAAGAGACUCUUAAUCUCAGGGUGGUGGGUUCAAGCCCCACAUUGGGUGGAA